rnacentral:misc_RNA from 1 species
GAAAAUAAAAGAAAAUGUCAGUUUCUUUUGGAAGGCUUAUUUGAUGAGGCAAAAAUUGCGAAACAAUCAUUAAUGGCAUACAAAAAAAUUUAAAAUUUUGAGCAAGUAUGAAUGGGAAAGAAGAUGAAAAUAUUGCAUGGCGGCUAAGAAUAAGCCUAUAAUUGGACUGUGGAAAUAUAGUGAAGAUUUGAAACUAACAAGACCGUUAAAUACAAGAAUAAAGGGGAAAGAAACAGGACAAGGAAGCUUAGAUUCGCAGAUUUUCAAGGGGAAAUAUAUUUGAACUAUUUAAAGUGGACCUUCAUAAUCUCUGUUUGGUUGCUGGGAAAAUGAAAACAAUUAAAGCAGUUCCCACUAACG